rnacentral:rRNA from 1 species
UACGUAGGGCGCAAGCGUUGUCCGGAUUUAUUGGGUUUAAAGGGUGCGUAGGCGGCCCUGUAAGUCAGUGGUGAAAUACUCCAGCUUAACUGGAGGGGUGCCAUUGAUACUGCAGGGCUUGAGUUAAGUUGAAGUUGGCGGAAUUGACGGUGUAGCGGUGAAAUGCUUAGAUAUCGUCAAGAACACCGAUAGUGAAGACAGCUAACUAAACUUUUACUGACGCUGAGGCACGAAAGUGUGGGGAUCAAACAGG